UUAUUCAUUUACAAAAUAUUCUGAUAUUAUUAGCAUAAACAUUUUCAAUAUGAAGUAAAUUCAUAAUUUAAUAACAUCUUAAGACCUGAUGCUCUUGCUGAGAAUAUUCCACAAUGGUUGAUUUAUACCGGUAACCUUGAAGCACAUACAUAAGUAACAACAUUAAAAACAAAUCACUUACAAAUAAUUUGUACUUAAAUAUGCGGUAAGAAACUUAUUUAUUGACAUGAAGAUGAGCAAAUGAUGUUAGAAUCAAACGCAAAACUCAAACUGAAGAUGAAGUAAAAGUCUUUGACCUCUGCGUUGCAGCAUCAAGCGUUUCAACGAGACUCUCGCUCCUGAUUGGCUGCUUUGCGUUCUAGCCCGACGUCACUAAAGCCUCGCGCGUGCAGCCAGAUGUUAUCAGCGCAAACAGUUGUGUCAGUGACCAGUUCACUGCUCGAGUUUGGAUCGCUUACAUCUUCGCUUGAACACGACUGAGAAUCUGUGUUCGCUGUUCUGGAAACAUCUCGCGCACAGCAGACGCGACAGCAGCAGCGCGAGGAGUGGUACUGCCCCCGCUGAGCCAACUGGAGAAGCUCAGGAUGGAUAAACGGCAGAAAGAACGCACUCAGAGAAAAGAAGAUGUGAUGACGUGGAAGGAAACUAACGCCUUAUCCACUUCAGUAGAGUACCUGAAGACUUCUCUUCACACAGCUCCAGUGGUGGACGAAGUACACAAACCAUGUACUUGAGUUAAAGUAGAGAUACCCAAGGUGUGAGCUCCAGGUAAUGUCUAGAGAGGAUUUGCCGCUUCAGAGCGAAGAGGAUUUGCCACUACGGAGCGAAGAGGAUUUGCCCCUUCAGAGCGAAGAGGAUGUGCCACUACAGAGCGAAGAGGAUUUGCCACUACAGAGCGAAGAGGAUUUGCCCCUUCAGAGCGAAGAGGAUUUGCCCCUUCAGAGCGAAGAGGAUUUGCCACUACAGAGCGAAGAGGAUUUGCCACUACAGAGCGAAGAGGAUUUGCCACUACAGAGCGAAGAGGAUUUGCCACUACAGAGCGAAGAGGAUUUGCCACUACA